GGUUAAGCGACUAAGCGUACACGGUGGAUGCCCUGGCAGUCAGAGGCGAUGAAGGACGUGCUAAUCUGCGAUAAGCGUCGGUAAGGUGAUAUGAACCGUUAUAACCGGCGAUUUCCGAAUGGGGAAACCCAGUGUGUUUCGACACACUAUCAUUAACUGAAUCCAUAGGUUAAUGAGGCGAACCGGGGGAACUGAAACAUCUAAGUACCCCGAGGAAAAGAAAUCAACCGAGAUUCCCCCAGUAGCGGCGAGCGAACGGGGAGCAGCCCAGAGCCUGAAUCAGUGUGUGUGUUAGUGGAAGCGUCUGGAAAGGCGCGCGAUACAGGGUGACAGCCCCGUACACAAAAAUGCACAUGCUGUGAGCUCGAUGAGUAGGGCGGGACACGUGGUAUCCUGUCUGAAUAUGGGGGGACCAUCCUCCAAGGCUAAAUACUCCUGACUGACCGAUAGUGAACCAGUACCGUGAGGGAAAGGCGAAAAGAACCCCGGCGAGGGGAGUGAAAAAGAACCUGAAACCGUGUACGUACAAGCAGUGGAAGCACAGAGCAAUCUGUGUGACUGCGUACCUUUUGUAUAAUGGGUCAGCGACUUAUAUUCUGUAGCAAGGUUAACCGAAUAGGGGAGCCGAAGGGAAACCGAGUCUUAACUGGGCGUUAAGUUGCAGGGUAUAGACCCGAAACCCGGUGAUCUAGCCAUGGGCAGGUUGAAGGUUGGGUAACACUAACUGGAGGACCGAACCGACUAAUGUUGAAAAAUUAGCGGAUGACUUGUGGCUGGGGGUGAAAGGCCAAUCAAACCGGGAGAUAGCUGGUUCUCCCCGAAAGCUAUUUAGGUAGCGCCUCGUGAAUUCAUCUCCGGGGGUAGAGCACUGUUUCGGCAAGGGGGUCAUCCCGACUUACCAACCCGAUGCAAACUGCGAAUACCGGAGAAUGUUAUCACGGGAGACACACGGCGGGUGCUAACGUCCGUCGUGAAGAGGGAAACAACCCAGACCGCCAGCUAAGGUCCCAAAGUCAUGGUUAAGUGGGAAACGAUGUGGGAAGGCCCAGACAGCCAGGAUGUUGGCUUAGAAGCAGCCAUCAUUUAAAGAAAGCGUAAUAGCUCACUGGUCGAGUCGGCCUGCGCGGAAGAUGUAACGGGGCUAAACCAUGCACCGAAGCUGCGGCAGCGACGCUUAUGCGUUGUUGGGUAGGGGAGCGUUCUGUAAGCCUGCGAAGGUGUGCUGUGAGGCAUGCUGGAGGUAUCAGAAGUGCGAAUGCUGACAUAAGUAACGAUAAAGCGGGUGAAAAGCCCGCUCGCCGGAAGACCAAGGGUUCCUGUCCAACGUUAAUCGGGGCAGGGUGAGUCGACCCCUAAGGCGAGGCCGAAAGGCGUAGUCGAUGGGAAACAGGUUAAUAUUCCUGUACUUGGUGUUACUGCGAAGGGGGGACGGAGAAGGCUAUGUUGGCCGGGCGACGGUUGUCCCGGUUUAAGCGUGUAGGCUGGUUUUCCAGGCAAAUCCGGAAAAUCAAGGCUGAGGCGUGAUGACGAGGCACUACGGUGCUGAAGCAACAAAUGCCCUGCUUCCAGGAAAAGCCUCUAAGCAUCAGGUAACAUCAAAUCGUACCCCAAACCGACACAGGUGGUCAGGUAGAGAAUACCAAGGCGCUUGAGAGAACUCGGGUGAAGGAACUAGGCAAAAUGGUGCCGUAACUUCGGGAGAAGGCACGCUGAUAUGUAGGUGAAGUCCCUCGCGGAUGGAGCUGAAAUCAGUCGAAGAUACCAGCUGGCUGCAACUGUUUAUUAAAAACACAGCACUGUGCAAACACGAAAGUGGACGUAUACGGUGUGACGCCUGCCCGGUGCCGGAAGGUUAAUUGAUGGGGUCAGCGCAAGCGAAGCUCUUGAUCGAAGCCCCGGUAAACGGCGGCCGUAACUAUAACGGUCCUAAGGUAGCGAAAUUCCUUGUCGGGUAAGUUCCGACCUGCACGAAUGGCGUAAUGAUGGCCAGGCUGUCUCCACCCGAGACUCAGUGAAAUUGAACUCGCUGUGAAGAUGCAGUGUACCCGCGGCAAGACGGAAAGACCCCGUGAACCUUUACUAUAGCUUGACACUGAACAUUGAGCCUUGAUGUGUAGGAUAGGUGGGAGGCUUAGAAGUGUGGACGCCAGUCUGCAUGGAGCCGACCUUGAAAUACCACCCUUUAAUGUUUGAUGUUCUAACGUUGACCCGUAAUCCGGGUUGCGGACAGUGUCUGGUGGGUAGUUUGACUGGGGCGGUCUCCUCCUAAAGAGUAACGGAGGAGCACGAAGGUUGGCUAAUCCUGGUCGGACAUCAGGAGGUUAGUGCAAUGGCAUAAGCCAGCUUGACUGCGAGCGUGACGGCGCGAGCAGGUGCGAAAGCAGGUCAUAGUGAUCCGGUGGUUCUGAAUGGAAGGGCCAUCGCUCAACGGAUAAAAGGUACUCCGGGGAUAACAGGCUGAUACCGCCCAAGAGUUCAUAUCGACGGCGGUGUUUGGCACCUCGAUGUCGGCUCAUCACAUCCUGGGGCUGAAGUAGGUCCCAAGGGUAUGGCUGUUCGCCAUUUAAAGUGGUACGCGAGCUGGGUUUAGAACGUCGUGAGACAGUUCGGUCCCUAUCUGCCGUGGGCGCUGGAGAACUGAGGGGGGCUGCUCCUAGUACGAGAGGACCGGAGUGGACGCAUCACUGGUGUUCGGGUUGUCAUGCCAAUGGCACUGCCCGGUAGCUAAAUGCGGAAGAGAUAAGUGCUGAAAGCAUCUAAGCACGAAACUUGCCCCGAGAUGAGUUCUCCCUGACUCCUUGAGAGUCCUGAAGGAACGUUGAAGACGACGACGUUGAUAGGCCGGGUGUGUAAGCGCAGCGAUGCGUUGAGCUAACCGGUACUAAUGAACCGUGAGGCUUAACCUU
rnacentral:rRNA from 1 species